GAAUCCGGAAUCACAUUCCCUCACAAAAUUGGGAUGAAGAAUUCGAGAGCCGCGAAGAGAGCGGGAUUCAAGAUCGGAAACCCAGGCGAAACCUCCCAAGCUCACAUCCGAUUUCUCCCAAUCGGAGCAGCACUUCGCUCCUUGGAGGUAAUAGAACCCUCGAUCUUGCUUUGGUUGGCUCGGAUUCUGGUUCCCUAGUGGUUUUCUAGGGUUUUGGUGAGAUCCGGAGCCUGGAGCAAUGACGUGCACGGAGGAGGAGGAGGAGGACCCUCUGUCGUCGUCGGACUCUUUCGCCUAAUCGAUGUAACAUCCGACUUCCUUUCUUCUACUUCCGCCCCUAUAUUGGUUGCACAUAUGCCAUUAUUCUAAUCUUAUUGUUGUCAUCUGCCGUCAUCGAAACCACUUGAUAACAUCUUUUAUUCUGGUUAAAUUCCUUUUGUCUUGUUAACGUUGUUGGUAUAACAUCUCUUUUCUUGGGUGAUGUGAACGUGGUACGAUCAUUUGGUUGUCCUGUGAUGAAAUUACAGAAUCUUUUUUAAGCCUUGACUGUAUUCCAUACCGAUAGCUGAGCG
rnacentral:lncRNA from 1 species